UAGUAUUAAUGAUCCAUUUGCAGUGACGAUGACAAUCAUAGUUUAGGGCAAGAAAUAUAGAAGAUAAAGAAAAAUAUAAACAAUUACAACUGUACAGUAGAAAUGAUCGGCAAAACAAGAUAAACAGAAGACAACAAGGCCUAAAUGGUGAGACUUCUUGGUUUUCAUGAUCAUCAACAGGUCUAUACAGAAGAGGAAACUUAAGGUUGAUACUUUUCUACAUUGUGUGCUAAUUGGAUUAAUGUGAAAUGAAAUGUGUGCUUACCUGGAAAAAGAAAAUAGGAAAUUUCUACAAAAUGGUUGUAAACAAAAUGGAGUACAAUCAUAGAUGCACAAGAACACAAUUGUGUAAUUGCAACAACCUACAUAUUCACUGAAGGAUUAUGGAGAAAUGUAGAAAAAAUAGUAUUUUUUGUUGUCGAAAUAAACACCUGCUUUAUCCAUUCAUGUACA